CCUACGGGAGGCAGCAGUGAGGAAUAUUGGUCAAUGGCCGGAAGGCUGAACCAGCCAUGCCGCGUGAAGGUCAGUGCCCUAUGGGCGUUAAACUUCUUUUGUGCGGGAGCAAUAAUGGUCACGUGUGGCCAGACGAGAGUACCGUACGAAUAAGCAUCGGCUAACUCCGUGCCAGCAGCCGCGGUAAUACGGGGGAUGCAAGCGUUAUCCGGAUUUAUUGGGUUUAAAGGGUGCGUAGGCUGUGAGGUAAGUCAGCGGUGAAAUGCCCCCGCUCAACGGGGUGAAGUGCCAUUGAUACUGCCUGGCUGGAAUGCGGAUGCGGUGGGAGGAAUGUGUGGUGUAGCGGUGAAAUGCAUAGAGAUCACACAGAACACCGAUUGCGAAGGCAUCUCACGAAUCCGCGAUUGACGCUGAUGCACGAAAGCGUGGGUAUCAAACAGGAUUAGAUACCCGGGUAGUC
rnacentral:rRNA from 1 species